rnacentral:rRNA from 1 species
GACAGAGGGUGCGAACGUUGUUCGGAAUUACUGGGCGUAAAGCGCGUGUAGGCGGCAACGCAAGUCGGGCGUGAAAUCCCACGGCUCAACCGUGGAAGUGCACUCGAAACUGCGUAGCUAGAGUCCUGGAGAGGAAGGUGGAAUGCUUGGUGUAGAGGUGAAAUUCGUAGAUAUCAAGCGGAACACCGGUGGCGAAGGCGGCCUUCUGGGACAGUGACUGACGCUGAGACGCGAAAGCGUGGGGAGCAAACAGGG